rnacentral:snRNA from 1 species
GGAUGUGAGGACAAUCUGCCUGUUGACAUCUGUUACCUCAUUGAUUGCCAGGGUAGAUUUGGCUGAUCUGACUGGCUAGGUGUGUCCUUGUCCUCCCUCACUAUCCCAUGUGUAUCCCUCCCAAAACUCAGGGCUCCUCAAAAAGGACAAUCUUCCCUGAAUAGAAGAGGGCAGGUCUUCAGUCAAGAGUAUAAGAGUAGUGGCAUGCCCCUGCUAGAACCUCCAAACAAGCUCUCAACAGCAACUUGUUGACCUGCUUUGAGGGAGAAAGCACCAGUCCCUUUCUUCACCCUUCCUUCUCCCUGGAGUUUGCUUGGUGGGAA